AGUGAGCCAUAUGAUGAUGAAGAAUUUGAGGGUUAUGAAGACAAACCAGAUACCUCUUCUAGCAAAAACAAAGACCCAAUAACAAUUGUUGAUGUCCCUGCACACCUCCAGAACAGCUGGGAGAGUUAUUAUCUAGAGAUCCUGAUGGUGACUGGUCUGCUUGCCUAUAUCAUGAACUACAUCAUUGGGAAGAA